CAAAGAACAGCAAAGAAAUGGAGGCUGUGUUUGUCUUACAAGGUUUUCUUCACCUUCUCCGGAACCAGGAAAUUCCAGGUGAAAAAGCAGCUGAAGUGGAAGAGAAGUUCUGACUCAUUUGAACUGAUCAGGACAGGGCAGGAGACAACAUCUCCCACACUGUGGUUAUUUACCAGCUCUCACUCCCGGAUUUCUUCAGAAAUACAAAGAUUUAGCAAGGCCUUGGCAUGAAAAACAGGAUUGAAGCUCAUCCAGGCUUUUGUAUCCCAAAUAUUCCCCAAACUCCUGAUCAAAACAACUUUUCGAUGUUUUCUCGCUGCAUUAACAGGCUGGAAUUGCUACUAGAAGUAUCAGCCAAUUAGCAACUCUUUAAUCUCCUGCAUUGUUUGUCACCACGGUGUGACAAAGUGACAGCCUGCCACGCUAAUUAGCUGCCUUCUGCGAGGGGAAAAUUGCUCUUGUUUGACAAAUAAUUCAAGUUAAAGAAGGACGAGGAAGUCUGAAAACAAAGUUAUUCAUGCAAAGACACAUCAGAGAGCACCCAGGGGCUCAGGUAAUUGGUGAGGGGAGGGGGGACCUCUCACCUUUCUGUAAUAAAUCAGAAAAUUAUUGAGUGGAAGGGAUGAGGUGAUUUUUAACAGCUUGAAAUGAGCACAGGGUUCAAAGUGUUGUUUCAGGAACUUCGCUCCAUGCUGGGAAAAGUUGGGUUUCUAGAGGUUGUCGGUGUUUAUUCAGCUCGAAAAGCAUCUAAGCUGCUCCUGACCUCCCUUGGGAGCCUUUUAAAGGUGAAUUUUCACCUCAAAAAUUCGGUGUUCCCAUGGAAAACCAUGGAAAUAUUUGGGAGCAUCAAAAAUAGAGGGGAGCUCCAGAGCUUCCCUCCAAUAAUGUUUUUUAAAGCUUCAAAUGAGCCUAAAUCAGUUU